AUUCCAGCUCCAAUAGCGUAUAUUUAAGUUGUUGCAGUUAAAAAGCUCGUAGUUGGAUUUCGGGCCCAGGUGACCGGUCCGCCGUUUCGGUGUGCACUGGUUAGCUCGGUCUUUCUGCCGGGGACACGCUCCGUCUUAAUUGCCGGACGUGGAGUCGGCGAUGUUACUUUGAAAAAAUUAGAGUGUUCAAAGCAGGCUUACGCUCUGAAUACUAUAGCAUGGAAUAACACGAUAGGACUCCGAGCCUAUUUUGUUGGUCUUCGGGACCGGAGUAAUGAUUAAGAGGGACAGUUGGGGGCAUUCGUAUUACGGUGUCAGAGGUGAAAUUCUUGGAUUUCCGUAAGACGAACUUAUGCGAAAGCAUUUACCAUGGAUGUUUUCAUUA
rnacentral:rRNA from 1 species